UACGUAGGGGGCAAGCGUUGUCCGGAAUCAUUGGGCGUAAAGCGCGUGUAGGCGGCUCGGUAAGUCCGCUCUGAAAGUCCGGGGCUCAACCCCGGGAGGCGGGUGGAUACUGUCGAGCUCGAGUCCGGAAGAGGCGAGUGGAAUUCCUGGUGUAGCGGUGAAAUGCGCAGAUAUCAGGAGGAACACCGAUGGCGAAGGCAGCUCGCUGGGACGGUACUGACGCUGAGGCGCGAAAGCUAGGGGAGCAAACAGG
rnacentral:rRNA from 1 species